GAUGAACGCUGGCGGCGUGCCUAAUACAUGCAAGUCGAGCGAACAGACGAGGAGCUUGCUCCUCUGACGUUAGCGGCGGACGGGUGAGUAACACGUGGAUAACCUACCUAUAAGACUGGGAUAACUUCGGGAAACCGGAGCUAAUACCGGAUAAUAUAUUUAACCGCAUGGUUCAAUAGUGAAAGACGGUUUUGCUGUCACUUAUAGAUGGAUCCGCGCCACAUUAGCUAGUUGGUAAGGUAACGGCUUACCAAGGCAACGAUGCGUAGCCGACCUGAGAGAGUGAUCGGCCACACUGGAACUGAGACACGGUCCAGACUCCUACGGGAGGCAGCAGUAGGGAAUCUUCCGCAAUGGGCGAAAGCCUGACGGAGCAACGCCGCGUGAGUGAUGAAGGUCUUCGGAUCGUAAAACUCUGUUAUUAGGGAAGAACAAAUGUGUAAGUAACUAUGCACGUCUUGACGGUACCUAAUCAGAAAGCCACGGCUAACUACGUG
rnacentral:rRNA from 1 species